CUAGGUUGCGAGAUCGCUAAUUUCACAUAGCUAUAACUCUGUCAAAUAUUAAUAUAUUUUCACCAUUUUUUGCCAUAUUAUUGAUUAAGCUACCAUCUAUCCAUAUAUAAUAGGUUAAAUAGUGUUUGGAUAUAAAUAAAAGCCCGGGCGGUCAAUAUAUAUUCCCCGGGCAGUACCGGGCAGCACCGGGCAGUACCGGGCGGUGCCGGGCAGUACCGGGCAGUACCGGGCUGUAAUUAGUAGGACCGGCGAUAGGGGGUGUCCUCAGGUAGGUGCGAGUGAAAGGAAGGUGGUAAUACGGGUCCUCCUAAAGACAUGAAUGGACCUGAAAGGACCUGAAUCUGGACCUGAAUGGGUUUUAAAGGUGUUUAUUGAUUAUUAAUGUGUUAUUUCUCGGUGUUUUAUGCAAGAAUGGGUGUUAUUACAUGUCGAAACACCAUUUUCAUUUGAAAAAACAAAUUAGAAUGAUGUAGAACUCUUGGCCAUUUGAAAUGUUUCCAGACUCAACGACGAGGACGUGGUUCUACAAUGAGUCCAUAUAAUUUUAUUAUAGAAAAUAUUUUGAGUACCGAUCAAGUGACAAGAAAAUAUAUGUGAAUAUGUGUUUCAAUCAGUGUAAUGAAAAAAUGAGACUCUCAGAAUUAAUUUAUUUUAUUUCUAAAUUACACAAUUAAAUAGUAUAUAUCCUAUAAAGUUAUGUGAACUAGCCACAAGGGUGUGGACAAUGUCCAAAGGUACGCAGAGCAGUCCCCAUAAUUGCACUCUUGCAGUCUAGCCCUAAUAACAUAAAACAUAUUAUACAAAAGCACUAGUAAACAUCUAAAUAAAUAUCUAAAAAACACCACUAAUUAAUGAUUUACAUCCGAGCAUUUAUACG